UUUUUUACCAAAAAACCUCAAUCCAUGUUUUCCCUUUCCUUCUUUCUCCUCUACCUUUUUGCAUCAUCUUCAUCCUCUGAAAAAACCAUAUCUAUUAACUUCAAAGAGAGAGGGAGGAGGAUAAGUUUGCAAAAAGCCAUUUCUACUUUCCAUCUGUAUCGUGUCUUCCACUUUCUUCACUCGUUAGCUUCCAUUAAAGCCGUUUAUUCAAGCUUAUCAUUGUUUAAAGGUGCAACCUUUAAGCUUUUUUAUGUAAACUUUUGUGUUGGGGUUUUUUAGGCUCGAUAAAAUGGCAUCAAGUUUUCAUGAAUGGGAAUCUGACCCUUUAUUCUCAGCUGCUGAAGUAGUUCAAGACUCUUCUGACAGGCUCUAGUUCGGUUCGAGUUAUUUUGUUCUUUUGAAGUCUCGUUCAAAGCGAACAUCCUGACCCAAGAUUCCUUUCGUCGAUAGAAUAUCAUAAGCGUGAUCUUGCAACCGUACUUGGAACUGCGAAAUGGCAGUUGGAAGAUUUUGAAAGAGCUGCUAACUCAUCGAUCAUAGGAAACAAAUCUCAAACCAGAGAAGAUGUCAUUUCCGGACAUAGGCAGUUUAUUAUGGCCAUUAGGGAACAUAUAAAUGAAGUGGAGAAAGGUGUAAAGGGCCCUUCAAUGGGUGAUUCCAUGAGAAAUGACCAUGAAAGAGAUUUAUUAGCAUCAUUUCUUACAGGAGGAAAUCCCAAAGAACAUUUAAAUCAUUAUGAAAUGGAAGAAAGUAGCUCUUUGAGAAGAUUCCUUGAUCCAAACUUGUCCAAACUUGGGUUCUAGUUUAACGGAUAAUGAAAUUGUUGAACAUGACAGCAGAGAAUUUUAGAGGGUAAGAAUUAAUGGAGUUGGGCAUGCUGAGCAUUAUCUUGACUCUGCAAAUGAAGAUAAAAGAAAUAUUGGUUCGCAUUACACCACCAGAAUAGGCUCAGAUAUGAUGAACUCUCUGCCAGAGAACUCUCAUGAAAGGCAUGGUGGUGGUGAUCACUGGGACCUAGAAGCCAAUGAAGCCAAAUCUAGGAGCUUCUUCCAUGAGAUCAAGUCAAGAGCGACAUACAGCAUUAUGUUCUUCUUUGGUUUCUUGAUCAAUCUAUGGUCUACCCAUAGGAACAGAAUUGCAAGGAACUAUACAAAGAGGUUGAAAGAUGGAGAGAAAAAUAGGCAUUCGCCUACUUACACUGAAUCUUCUCAUUCUGCACAGGUCCAGCGUCUAGGACUAAUGUUAGGAUCUGGAUACAGAAGCUUCCAGGGAAUAUGCUUUAGGUUGCAAUCAGAAGUAAUGCUCCUGGGUAGCUACCUUGGUGCAAGAUAUCAAAGAUUUCUCUUUAGUUUUGAGUUUAAUCGACAUUCAAUGAAAAUUAUAUUGACAGCCAUUCUUACCCUCAUAUUUUUGGGUAUAUUGGUGUCCAGAAUUGCUUGAAGACAGUCAUUUGCUGCUAAUAGUCUGCGAACAGUUGAAUGUCCUGACCAUCAAAUAUUGCAUGGUCGCAAAUACAAUUUUAUGUCUUGCUGACCGAAAUGUGCAACUGGUAAUGAUUGUUGAAAAGAUUUCUGUUGGAGCCCGGACAAUUGGAUAACUUGUUGUUUGCGACAACCCAACCUUUAAAGAAUUAUUUAAAGUCGAAGAAGAACAGAUCUUCAGGUAAUAAAUUUCCAAACAACGCUAGAUUUGUUUAAUAGAAUUCUAGGGAUUCAUGAAUAAUUUUGUUUUAUUGUUUCUGUUGCGUGUAUGAUAUUCGAAAAACCCAACAAUUAUAUCAUCAGGAAGGGAAGGCUUUAUUGAGUACUGUAACUAAUUCAAUCAUUGAAGUAUUUAAAAAACUCAUAUAAACAAAAAAUCUCAAAUAGCCUUGAUCAUGAGACAUAAUUGUCACUAUAAACAAGAACCAAAAUUCCAACCGUAGUAAUUAAUAUUAACAAAAUAGAAGUAAGUGGGUCAAUCAAGGGCCCGAACUCUUAAAGAAAAAUCAUUGUUGAUGGUCCAAGACCAUAUAUAUUGAUAAAUUCCUUGAUAAAUGGAAUUGCUAUUUAUUUGAUGAAUAAAUAGAUAGGUCGAAAAAACCAUAACUAUACUUAACAAUAAAACACUGGGAAAAGCCUAUAUUGCGUCUUUUGUUGAUUAGGUGAUGCCCGGAUUUGAACUAGGAAAAAAGGAUUUGUAGUCCCCCGCCUUACCACUCAGCCAUGUCGCCAAGGCAAUUGAAAUAAAAUAUAGAUGAAAAUACCACCUUCUUUUUUUUCUUACUAAACUUUUUUUUUUUUUGUACUUGCUUGACCAAUCUUAUAGUGUGUUUGACAGUGUGGUUGCGGGUGCUUUUCAAAUAGCUUUUCGUGCCGAAAUACAUGCCAAUGAUGUUUUUUUAUUUUUUAAAAAUUAUUUUUGACAUCAACACAUCAAAACGAUUCAAAAAGUACAAACCGUACUUAAUUUUAGCAAAAAAAAAUAAUUAAAUUUUGAUGAAACGCAGUUACAAACGCAAUGCCAAACGGUGUGUUAGUAUUCUAGAGUCGGCAUGUACAAUUAAAACUUGACCUCAUUUUAGGCAUGGUCUGUGUUUUUAAUUAUUGUGUUUCUUCACAAUAAUUAUGAUGAUAAUUAUGAAUUUUUAGGGUUUUAAUUUUUUUAGCUGCCACCUAGAACAGCUGCUCUUUCUUUCCCUCAAUUUUUUCCCUCUGAAACAAAAGUCACUCAUGCUAUCAAGCCUCCUCCUUUCACUGUCAAACUCCUCCAUUAGCCCACAGCAGCUCCAUCUUCCACCCAUGACAGCCACCAUAAGAUAGCCCUCCCUGAACUCCUCUACCAAUAGCCAUAGCAGCUACUGAAACCAACACCACCAAUUGCUACUUCCAUUAGCCUCUCAACAGCCACGGUUCGGCCUCUUUACCACACCAAAGGUCAUUUAUCUUCCUCUCCCAGCCACGGUUUUCACCACCAUAAACCACCUUCCAACUGUAAUCUGCACUAGUACAGUAAUUGUGACCAUCAGUCCAGCCACUCCUCCAUUUGUCCAUCUCCUUUUCUCCUCAAUCCCACCGGGACUACCAUUGACAGCCAAGACCAUCUUCUUCCCUCUUCCCCGUGACAGCCUCCAUAACAGUAUCAGCAUCACAACAGCCCACAAACAAACUCAACCUUAACCCAGCACCGCCAUUCUUCCUCUCGUGACCAACCACUGAUUUCAACCGACCUCCUAACUACCACGUGAUGAACAGUAGCAAAAUCAGUAGAGAGAGACGAAACCAAGAAAAAGAAACGAACUCGUGAGGAAGAAAAGAGAGGCAAAUCUGGAGAGAAAUAAAAACAAUUGUUUUGUGUUGAUUUUCUUGUUUCGUAGGUGGCGGUAGCUUUCACCUCCAGCACAGGAAGAAAGAACAAGAAGGCAUUUCAGAUCCACACAUUUUUCCAUUUCACCGGUGACGGUGGCAUGUGAGACCUACACAGCGUUACUGCUCCCCCGUAUUCAUUGCAUUCCAGCAGCUUCUCUGACUACUUGGACCCUGUCCAAAAGGUGUUCUGCAAAUUCUGGGAUGAUUUUGUCAUGUGUAAACUUGUGUAAUUUUUGGGUGUGUGAGUUAAUUAGUAAAAGAGAUGGGUGUGUGUUGCAUGGUUUUA